UACACUAGUAGUACCCGGGUAGUCCUAGCCGUAAACGAUACUCGCUAGGUGUCGGCCACGGUGCGACCGUUGUCGGUGCCGAAGGGAAACCGUGAAACGUGCCGCCUGGGAAGUACGGUCGCAAGGCUGAAACUUAAGGAAUUGCGGGGGAGCACCACAACGGGUGGAGCCUGCGGUUUAAUUGGACUCAACGCCGGGAAGCUCACCGGAUAAGACAGCGGAAUGAUUGCCGGGCUGAAGACCCUGCAUGACCUAGCUG
rnacentral:rRNA from 1 species